CAGGGGCCCGUUUCAGAAAGGAGGUUAAGUGAAAAGUCUGAGUAUGUUAACCCUGAAGUGAAGGAAACUGGGAGGUUUGUCAAACCUGAGAAAGCAGGGUGUUUAAACUCUCAUUCUGGCGGCACCCAUUUACUGCAGAGGAUCCAUUGGUGAGCAAGUGAUGUAAUUCUAAAUUUCUCAAAAUCAGUUCAGAUGAAGAAACAAACUCCUCUAAAUCUUGGAUGGCCUGAGGAAAUUUUCUAACUUACCACGGAUGUUCCUGAGGGAUUUUAUCACGCAUUGACUACAAGAGAAUGCAAAUGGCAUACACAGGCAUGAAUCUGGGACAAGAUGGCCAUGACCUGCAGAGGUCUCCUCUCUGAGCCGGGCGUCUGGGGAUUCAGAAUUCUCCACUGCUGAAGCUUAAUUAGCCCAGCUCUGUUGCCUGGAGAAGUGUUCAGCGCUUGACCUUUCCUAAAGGUAAGCGACCGGUGCGUGUUCAACAGGCCACAGGAAAAUGAGCAGCACCAAGGAGGUUUCUGACAAGCCCAACUAGGAGGGGAGGUGGAGAUGGUGAAGGCAUUGGAGCUGGCGCCCAGACAUCGUCUCGUCUAAAGAUACCCUGAGAAGCAUACGUUGCCAAAGGGAAAUUUAUCAGUAUUCCUGCUGCUGAUCAUUAAAAAGAGACUGAGCCAAUGCACAGCAGGUUUUGUGUUCGUCUGAAGUGGGUUUAAAAACAAGCAAAAUGAAAACAGUCAAGUAUUAGCAGAUAGUAGAAGAUAGCUACGUUUAAAUAAAGCCUAAUAAUUCAUUAAUGACUAAAUGCAAAUCCUUUGUGUAAGGACCUCAAUCGGACAAAAAAGGGAUCCAAAAUGACAAUGACUUCCACAAUUUUGAAAGAAAAAUUUCCUUCAAGAUACUAGUUAAAUAGAAGUUUAAUCAGUAAAAUAUGAAUAAAAAAGUCUAAUAAUAAUAAUAAUAAAUAAUAAUAAUAAAAUAUAAAUCUAGCUCAGUGGUUUAAGAUAUUUUAAGAAGAAAAUGAAUUUUAUUUUAGAAUAAAAUAAAAAGAAAGAAAUAUAAACAUUUAAAAAGAAAAAAAAAAGAUUCAUGGUCUCCACAAAAAUGUUAAAAUAAAUGUAAUUAUUUUAAACGUAUAUUU